rnacentral:rRNA from 1 species
UACGAAGGGGGCUAGCGUUGCCCGGAAUCACUGGGCGUAAAGGGUGCGUAGGCGGGUCUUUAAGUCGGGUGUGAAAUCUCGGGGCUUAACUCCGAAACUGCAUUCGAUACUGCCGUGCUUGAGGACUGGAGAGGAGACUGGAAUUUACGGUGUAGCGGUGAAAUGCGUAGAUAUCGUAAGGAAGACCAGUGGCGAAGGCGGGUCUCUGGACAGUUCCUGACGCUGAGGCACGAAGGCCAGGGGAGCAAACGGG